rnacentral:lncRNA from 1 species
UGAUCAUCCCUAAGUCCUUCCAUUAUUACAUGAAUAAUCCUUACAGGCUCUCAAUUUGCUAUGGUUUCAGGAGUUAUCACCUCAGGUUCAGGUCUCCUCUCUUCCCUUCCCUUCUUAGUGAAUUUCUGAAAAGUACCGUCCCUUAUCAGCCUCUUGAUCUCAUCUUUUAGUUGCCAACACUCUUUCGUCGUAUGACCAUGAUAUUUGUGGAAACGGUAGUACUUGGUCCUGUCUCGUUUCUCCGCUUUCUUGGGAUUGAGCUUAGGUGGCCACCUAAUUUUCUUAUCAUUUUUUCUAAUCCACAUUAAAAUGUGUGUCCAUGAGUCAUUCAACGGAG